rnacentral:rRNA from 1 species
UACGUAGGGACCUAGCGUUGUCCGGAAUUAUUGGGCGUAAAGCGCGCGUAGGCGGCCCGGUAAGUCCGUUGUAAAAGUCGAAGGCUCAACCUUCGAAAGCCGAUGGAUACUGCCGGGCUAGAGUCCGGAAGAGGCGAGUAGAAUUCCUGGUGUAGCGGCGGAAUGCGCAGAUAUCAGGAGGAACACCGGUGGCGAAGGCAGCUCGCUGGGACGUUACUGACGCUGAGACGCGAAAGCGUGGGGAGCAAACAGG